GGGUACUUAGUUCAGUUGGUUAGAGCAGGUGUUUCAUAAACAUCAAGUCUUGGGUUCAAGUCCCAAAGUACCCA
rnacentral:tRNA from 1 species